CUUAGUUUUUCUUUCUCUUUUUCCUACCGCCGUCGCUGCCGUAUAUUCAUUUCUUCGGCUCAGUCUUCUUCAUCUCACCUUUGCCUACCUCUCUAAUCGUCGCCUCACCUCCAAUUUAUGUUCAUUGUCUUCUCUUAUCUAUCAAAAGAUUGAAAGUUACGGAAGUUCUCAGUGAUUACAUGGCCUUGAAGGAGGAAAUCUUACAACUUACAAGUCAAAGCUUAUCUUUUGUAACUUAAAAAUAACACAUAUUGGAGGAAGCUACAGAACAUGAGGUAAAACUAUGAUAUAUAAUAUAUGAGAUGUAUUGAUUUUCAUUAAUCUCAGUUAAAAAUUUUAUACAUUUGUUAGCUUGUUCAAACUUGUUAUACAUUUGUAGUUUGUAAAGGUAACAACUUCUGGAUUUCA